UACGUAGGGGGCAAGCGUUGUCCGGAAUCAUUGGGCGUAAAGAGCGUGUAGGCGGCCCGGUAAGUCCGCUGUGAAAGUCCAGGGCUCAACCCUGGGAUGCCGGUGGAUACUGUCGGGCUCGAGUCCGGAAGAGGAGUGUGGAAUUCCUGGUGUAGCGGUGAAAUGCGCAGAUAUCAGGAGGAACACCGAUGGCGAAGGCAGGUCUCUGGGCCACUACUGACGCUGAGAAGCGAAAGCAUGGGGAGCGAACAGG
rnacentral:rRNA from 1 species